rnacentral:rRNA from 1 species
AAACUCAAAGGAAUUGACGGGGGCCCGCACAAGCGGAGGAACAUGUGGUUUAAUUCGAUGAUACGCGAGGAACCUUACCCGGGCUUGAAUUGCAUCUGACGUGUGGAGAGAUUCGCAUUUCUUCGGACAGAUGUGAAGGUGCUGCAUGGUUGUCGUCAGCUCGUGCCGUGAGGUGUCGGCUUAAGUGCCAUAACGAGCGCAACCCUUAUUAUCAGUUACCAUCGGGCAAUGCCGGGUACUCUGGUGAGACUGCCGUCGUAAGAUGUGAGGAAGGUGGGGAUGACGUCAAAUCAGCACGGCCCUUACGUCCGGGGCUACACACGUGUUACAAUGGGGAGUACAGAAGGCAGCUACACCGCGAGGUGAUGCUAAUCCCGAAAGCUUCUCCCAGUUCGGACUGGAGUCUGCAACUCGACUCCACGAAGCUGGAUUCGCUAGUAAUCGCGCAUCAGCCAUGGCGCGGUGAAUACGUUCCCGGGCCUUGUACACACCGCCCGUCAAGCCAUGGGAGCCGGGGGUACCUGAAGCUCGUAACCGCAAGGAGCGACCUAGGGUAAAACCNGGUGACUGGGGCUAAGUCGUAACAAGGUAACC